rnacentral:lncRNA from 1 species
AUAAACAUGAAUACACACACAUAAAACAUAGCUUCUGUGAUCUGUUAGUCAGUCAUUGUGGUGGGUGUUACUCGAACUGACCAUUUGACUUGUUAAGCUUAUUUCAGUCACAAUAAUAAAGAUACAAUAAGGCAUUGAAGUACAUGUAAGAAAAAAUGGGAGCGCACAUUUGUUUGAAUAAGCGGUUCCUUAUCUGUCACUUCCUUGGCAGCCAGGUCUCUUUGGUGCCUAGGCAGACCAUCUAGAUGCUGAGUUUGACAACACUGGUCACUAUACAUUAUUUUUGAUGCCUGUGCUGGUUUAUUAAUUUUAUUUGCAUGCAUUAUGUUGUAAGUAUUCUUUAUGCUUUGUGUCUUGGAUUUUGGCAGCCAUGUCCGUUUUAUAGCAUUAGUUACCAUAAAUUUUAUUUUCUGGAAAUUAGAUGCAGGACUUCUACACAGGUAUUUGAUAUUGAAGCCUGAGGGAUUAAUAAUAAACUGUUGAUUCAAGCAUUGCAAUUAUAAAUGUUGGGCCCAACAAACAAGAGCCAGUCAAGUAAUGGAUGUGGCACAAAUGCCAUGGUUUGUGCCACAAUCUCUAAGCAGCUGAUAUGCAUAGAAAUUUUGAAGCUGAAGGCAUUUUUCAGGAAAGGUGGUCCAUGAAUCUGAAGGUCUGCAACAUUUUCUCUCUUUUUUUUUGGGCUGUCAUGGGAGGCACUUAGAAAUUUAAUUACAUUUGGGUGGUUGCAUGCAUAACAGCAUCCCAUCUUUGAUAGAGUUGCAAUGCUAUGUUACGUUAGAUGCAUCUAGUUGUACAAUUCUGGUUUAAGUUACUCUAGCUUUUCAUCUACUAGAAAAAU